rnacentral:lncRNA from 1 species
GUCUCCGUUUUUCUAGAUUAUAUGUAUCAUCGUCGCUAUGAAACUUGCGCAAUUCAAUUUAAUUCAAUCGGCUGCGAUUAUCCGUCGUUUGUUUUUUCUUCUCUUUCGCGAUACCGUCUGAUUUUGGUCCUGAUUUGAUUUUAUUUGGGGUUAUUUUGUCGGUAUGAUAAUCGUAUCAUUAUGGAUUCGCCGGCGUAUCUUUUUCCCCGGCCGUUUGAUUGUGGUUCUGAAUUGGUUUUGGUGAUUUUGAUCCGGCGUGGUAUUAGGUAUGAUAUCCGGUUAUGCAUCAACAAGUGGUUUUUGCGUUUGGAUUGUGUUUUAUCUUGCUAGGGUUUGGUAAUCGGCUGAUUUGAUUUUUGCUCAACCUUGAAUAUGAUUUUGAUCCGGCGUUGUUCUAGGGUUUGGUAAUCGGCUGGUUUGAAUGCAGGUAUGUGAUAAUUGCUUUUAUAUUACAAUUUGUUACUCUGCUCUUCUGAAAAAGUUUCUUCCUUUUGAUCUGUAUAUAUGUUUUCGAUGUUCAACCUAUUUGUCUGCUGAUUAAGAUUUGAUUCUCCUUAUGAUAUAUAUGCGCAAUCUCUCUUUCUCUCUCUAACUGUAGAUCACAAUUUUUUAAUGUAUCUUUUAAAUCCCUUUACUUCUUUACUACUUUAUUUUGGUACGUUCUGUUUGUGGUUUUAGGAAAGGUUUCAUCUUUAUUUUAUGGAGCUAGGCUAACUGUGCAACUAGAACGAUGGAUCUGAUCUCGGUUGCUUAAGCUAGAGAUCUCGGUUGGAUCUGAUGAUGGCAAGAUAAUUUAUUUUGUGAUUUAAUAAUUACCUUUUGUUUCUGAUUGUGUAAUAUGUUGAUCAGUGGGUUCUAGUUGUGUCUACUGUUAGAUAUGAUUUUUUCUGUUCCAGAUUAUAUAUUCUUAAUGUAAACAUCAUCCUUUUCAUUCGGUUUUCAGAUUUUUACUUUAUAUGACCA